rnacentral:tRNA from 1 species
GGGCCUGUAGCUCAGUUGGUCAGAGCAGUCGACUCAUAAUCGAUUGGUCCCAGGUUCAAGUCCUGGCGGGCCCACCA